GGAAUCUUGGACAAUGGGGGCAACCCUGAUCCAGCGACGCCGCGUGGGUGGUGAAGGCCUUCGGGUUGUAAAUCCCUUUUCCCGGGGACGAUGAUGACGGUACCCGGGGAAUAAGCACCGGCUAACUCCGUGCCAGCAGCCGUGGUAAGACGGAGGGUGCUAGCGUUGUUCGGAAUGACUGGGCGUAAAGGGCGCGUAGGCGGCUUGGCAAGUCGGGUGUGAAAGCCCGGGGCUCAACCCCGGAACUGCAUCCGAGACUUUCAGGCUCGAGACCGGGAGAGGAGGGUGGAAUACCCAGUGUAGAGGUGAAAUUCGUAGAUAUUGGGUGGAACACCAGUGGCGAAAGCGGCUCUCUGGCCCGGAUCUGACGCUGAGGCGCGAAAGCGUGGGGAGCAAAC
rnacentral:rRNA from 1 species